UCCGGUUUGACACCGGCAGUCUCGCUAGAGUACUGGCUUGCGCCGAGCAACUAACGAUAGGGGUUGCGCUCGUUAAAGGACUUAACCUGACACUUCACAGCACGAGCUGACGACAGCCAUGCAGCACCUGUGCACGUUCCACUCAAAGAGUGUCACCCGGCUUUCACCGGACUAAUCCGUGCAUGUCAAACCCAGGUAAGGUUCUUCGCGUUGCCUCGAAUUAAGCAACAUGCUCCACCGCUUGUGUGAGCCCCCGUCAAUUCAUUUGAGUUUUAGCCUUGCGACCGUACUCCCCAGGCGGUGUGCUUAUCGUUUUUACUUCGACCGAUACGGCGUCAAAACCGCACCGAUCUAGCACACAUCGUUUACAGCGUGGACUAC
rnacentral:misc_RNA from 1 species